rnacentral:lncRNA from 1 species
AUAAUAUGUCUGUAAAGUUUACAUAGACAAACAUAAUUUUAGGAAGGCUUCAACAGUAGAGUCAUAUGUAUACAAAAGUCUAUAGACCAAAAGUGAUGAAGUCUUUCUUGCAUAGACACACAGUUCUAGGAAGGCUCCAACAUCAGAUUCAUAUGUACACAAAAGUCUUAUGAUCAAAAGUGAUGGAGUCUCUCCUAUUCUUGCCCAAAAUAAAAAAAACUAAUACAUGUAUACAAAUGAGAGGAGUAUGUUAGUCUAGACAGCAUCAAAGAGCUCAAUGCAAUAUUAUGAUCAUAAAUUAAAUAAUAUUCUUUCAAAAAAAGAGAAACAAUUACACAUAACAUGUUUAUUUUAUCUUCCCCUCUGAUCACGGCAAGCAGGUACUAAGUUUAUUAACACAACAAGCCAUGUUCUCUCCAAGAUUUCAAGUUACAAAAAAACUUAAUUGAAAAUUUAAAGUGCUUUUCGAAUAAUGUAUAUCAAGAGGCUAACAAUUUAACACAGUGAGGAAAGAGCAGUACACAAGCAUGUUUAUUAAGAACACUGGCAACUGUAUUUAGGUAAUGUUUGAAGAAAAGUGCUGCACUACUGUUAUCCUCCAUCCAGCUGUCAUCCUAUAUACAAAGACUUUAGUAAAUGAUGUGGUCUACUCUAUAUUCUGAUGUAAUCACGUAAAAGAAUCAAUUUAUGGUUCGUUUAUCCAGUAAAUAACUCAGUUGUUUUCAACCAGACAUAAUACUGAUUUGGUUUUCCAUAAUUUGCCUAGCCGAGCGGAUUUGGGAGACACCAUUGCAUAACAAACAUAUAUUGUCAGAUUUUGAAAGUUGAAAAUUUAUUAGCUGAUUUUGAUUGUUUGGUAAGCAAAACAAUUUAGCAUUCCGUAUAUCAAAUUGUAAAGCCAAAAUUAAAAGUAAGUUUGGUCCAAAGCAUUUAAAUAGAAAUCAUGUAUUCUGUUUAUGUAUUUAUUUUGUAUUAUUCCUUUUUCUGUCAAAGUGUAAAGUAUAUUUUCUUUAAUGAAAUAUGAGUAUGAAACUGUUUCUUUUGUGUGUGUGUGUGUGUGAGACCAAAUUGAAUCCAUUACAAAGUAAUCAGCUGUAGAAUUAUUUGUUUAUGAAGAAACAUAGAAGCAUGCUUCAUGACUGGCCAUAAUUAAUUUCGAUUGAGAGAAUACAAAGGGAGUGAGGGAGACAAAUAUUGUUAGGUUACAAAUUUGCAUAUUCAAAAACAAAGAAAAUUUUUGGUCAACUUGAACUUGAUGUUUUUCUUUUUUUGACGCAAUAUGUCGAAAGACAUGAAUAUAGAAUUAAAAAGCAUCAUGUCACAAGAAUCUAAAUAUAUGAGUAUGUUUUCAGACUUUUCUAAGUUAUAUCCAAAACGGCAACGACGAAGCCAUCCACGUCAUCAAAAAAAUUCAGACUAUAGGUCUGGUCAGGCAAGUCCGCGAAAUAUGCAUAUAUGUUUCUAGAUAAAGCUAGAAGUAGCAGCUUCAAUUAUUAGUAAUAUAUUUUUUGGGUUAUGGUUGUUGAUUUCCGGAAACAAAUCAUCAAGAUACUUAAAUUAUGUUUUUUUGUGAGAUACAACGUACUUUUGUUUGUUUUAAUGGGGAAAAAAGGGAAAAAUGAGGGUGUGUGGUUUGUAUACAAAGGAUCUUGAAUGGUGCCACACCUUGAUAUAUUUCAUGAUGAUCUAACUGUCUUCAUUCUUGGAACAUGUAGAAUCUGGCAUCGCAUUGCUAACCUAGGUGUG